UACGUAGGGUCCGAGCGUUGUCCGGAAUUAUUGGGCGUAAAGGGCUCGUAGGCGGUCUGUUGCGUCGGGAGUGAAAACUUACAGCUUAACUGUGAGCGUGCUUUCGAUACGGGCAGACUUGAGGCAUUCAGGGGAGAACGGAAUUCCUGGUGUAGCGGUGAAAUGCGCAGAUAUCAGGAGGAACACCGGUGGCGAAGGCAGCCCCCUGGGUCAAGACUGACGCUCAUGCACGAAAGCGUGGGGAGCAAACAGG
rnacentral:rRNA from 1 species